rnacentral:rRNA from 1 species
AUGGAUGAGAAUGGGACACCAGAUUACAGCGACGGGGGCUCGGACAUGGACCUGCUCAUGCUCUCAGGGUUUGAUGACCUUGACAGUUUCCCAGAGCUCGGCGCCGGUCCUUCAUUUAGUGACGGUAUCUUGUCGUCUUUCAGUGUUUCACCUGCGCAGCAGGUGACACAUAUCUCACCUUCACAACCUUCUGUGGAUGCUGAGGAGCAAGGUGAUGUUUCCAUUACUGAUGGUAGUGAUUGCUCUGUCAGUUUAGCCUCUAAAGAGGUCAUGAAUGUGAGCGCUUCCACUGUCCCAAAGACAGUUUAUGGCGGCGUCACCCUGACGGAGAGGAUGCUCAGGGCAUUGGCCAUGCUUAAAGAAGCAUCAACUGCUGGGCCAGUCCUUGUGCAAGUUUGGAUCCCUGUAAGAAAUGGAGAUCAUCAAGUGCUGACCACCUCUGACCAGCCUUUCUUGCUUGAUGAGAGGCUCACAGGGUACAGGGAAGUCUCUAGGCAGUUUACAUUCUCAGCCACAGAAGGACCUGGUCUGUUUCCUGGAUUGCCUGGGCGUGUUUUCAUAUCCGGUAUGCCAGAGUGGACAUCAAACGUGAUGUACUACAACACUUCAGAGUUCUUGAGGGUAGACUAUGCAAUUCGCAAUGAAGUCCGGGGAUCCCUUGCCAUGCCGGUUUUCAACUCAAGUGGCGGCUCUUGCUGUGCUGUGUUGGAAGUAGUCAUGACACAGGAAAAGGAUAACUUUUGCUCAGAGAUGGACAACCUUUCUAAUGCUCUGCAGUCUGUUCAGCUGAGCACUGUGCGAGCAAGGACACAUCCUCAGAGCCUUACUAGGAAUCAGCAAUCAGUAUUGACGGAAAUAUUGGAUGUUCUCCAAGGUGUUUGCCAUACACACAUGCUACCUUUGGCACUUGCAUGGAUUCCAGUUUGCCCCAACAGCAGUUUGAAUGUGUCAGCAGAGUAUGGUGACCAGGCUAUAAAGUUUGGUCUGAGGAAGAAAGAUGUCCUUUGCGUACAAGAAUCUGCCUGUUACAUCAAUGACAUGAGAAUGCAUGAUUUUCUCCGUGCCUGUGCAGAACACCCCCUUGAGAAAGGACAAGGUGUUGCUGGAAAUGCAAUUUUAUCAAAUCAUCCCUUCUUCUCAUCUGAUGUGAGAGAAUAUGAUAUGCAUGAUUAUCCGCUGGCACAUCAUGCCCGUAAGUUUGGUCUUCAUGCUGCUGUUGCUAUCAGGUUGCGUAGCACAUACACUGGCGAUGAUGAUUAUGUGUUAGAGUUUUUCCUUCCACUGACGUGCAAAGUUCGUGAAGAACAACAGCUCUUACUUGACGACAUCUCAAUAACCAUGCAAAGAGUAUGCAGUAGUCUGAGAACAGUUUCAGAUGCUGAACUGAAGGAAAACACCACAACAAUGCGAUCAGAAAUAAGAUGCUCAUCGUCUGAUGUUUCUAUUAGUUCAUGUAACCAAAUCGAUGUAUCCAGUGAAGUCAAAAUAAAUGUGCUUUUAGAAAAUCAGAUAAGAAACAGUGUUGAGCAACUGGCGGAUAAAAAAUAUGCUAAGUUUGAACCUGGCACUACAUCUCAAAAUUUUGAAAACUGCAGCUCAACAGGGAAGAAUGUUAGCUUGACUGUCCUUCAGGAAUCUACAUCUGAUGGGCUGAAAAUACGCAGCUCAACGGAGAAGCAUGUUAGCUUGAAAGUCCUUCAGCAAUACUUUGCUGGCAGUUUAAAAGAUGCUGCAAAGAGCAUUGGUGUUUGUCCUACAACACUGAAAAGGAUAUGCCGGCAGCAUGGAAUAUCAAGGUGGCCAUCUCGUAAGAUAAAGAAGGUAAAUCGGUCACUAGAGAAGAUUCAGAAUGUGAUAAGUACUGUACACGGAGUGGAUGGAGUGAUAAAAUAUGAUCCUGCCACUGGAUGUAUUGUUUCAUCUGUUUCCCAUACCGAAGAGCCUCCGAUAAUGAAUGUUGAACAUCGAAGUUCUGAUUCCCUGCCCACUGAAUGCCGUAAGUUCCAACCUGAUUAUGAUGCAUACCAAAGAGAACAUCUAGGCCAAGCUGUACCCCACAAAGCACAGAAUGAGAAAAGGAGCGAAACCCAUAUUAACCUGAAUCCUGGAGGGUUAUCUCGAAAUUCACAUUUUGGUAGAACAUCAAAAGGGUCAGAGUGUCAGGAUGCGUCAAACGGUUCAUAUCUUACAAAAGAAAUGAUCUGUCCUGGCGGUAUGGAGAUGUGGGUUGAGGGAGCUGAGCAAAAGAAUGUAUUGUGGAAUUCUGUUUCUAUGCCACAGCAAUGCAAAAUUGAGAUAGAAACAGACAAGUCUAAUGCGAUUGUUGAGCAAAGCCUGGCAUCUUCUUCCAGCAUGACAGAUUGCUCCAGUGGCGGUACAUCGAGUGAUGGGACUUUGAAGAAAUGCUUGAAGAGUCGACCAGUUGAUGGAAGCAAUGCGAGCAUAGUUGUGAAGGCCGCUUACAAGGAUGACACUGUAAGGUUGAAAUUACUACCAUCCAUGAAAUACCAGGAUCUGCUUGAAGAAAUCGCAAAGAGGCUGAAGCUAUCAGUUGGCGCAUUUCAGCUCAAGUACAAGGAUGAUGAGGAUGAAUGGGUGAUUUUAGCGAGCGACGCUGAUCUCCAGGAAUGCCUUGAUGUACUAGACACCACCGGGGCACGCAUCAUGAAAGUUCAAGUACGAGAUGUUCCAUGUGCCACCGGAGCUUCUUCGGGUAGUAGCUUUAUAUCUGGUCGAUAG